GGUGCCAAGGUGGCGGUCUGGGCUUCUUCCCACCCCGGGGAAGGUGCAGAGCCCAUGACAAGCAGCCUGGUGGCGGUGCUCCCCCUGGUCCUCAUUAACUCAGUUCCUGUAAGUUCCUUUGCACCAGUUGUUCACAAGAACAUUGAAGAAAAAUGAUUAUUCUACAGUGGAGAUUCCCAAACCAAGCUUGGGGAGGUGGGCAGAUGCUCCUGGAUACUGAUUCAGAUGGAACACAAAGUGUGGUCCAUAAACUUUUGCAAAAGAAGGAGGAGGAAGAGGAGAAGAGAGAGAAAGAAGAGGAGAGGGAGAAGAAGAGGAGGGAAAGGACUAAGACUCGGGCUGAAGGAGCAGCCCCUAAAUAUGACAUCCGGCAACAGGCCUACUGAUCCAUCAACAUUGCUCUGCCCCAUCCUAACCAUGGAAAGCGGACAUCCACUUCCGCACAGGAAGAUCACAGAUGCAAAAGCCCUUCCUGAGAAACUGCAAUCAUGAACUGCAAUGCAACCUGCCACCUUGUAGAUUUCUUUCCAUGAGCACAUAGAAAGGUGGAACUCUGGAGAGGCCCUUAGAAGAAAAACUUGGGAGAUUCCUGCUACCGGGAUAAAUUGAAAACCCAAUUCUAAAACACACUGAUUGCUCCCAAUCUGAGUUGCAUCAGUAGUUUGUUACACAAACC
ensembl:lncRNA